rnacentral:misc_RNA from 1 species
GUCAGCGCAACAGCGUAUACACGUGCAAUGUACACGGAUUCACAAGCACGACCCCGAUCGUGUAUACAUACAGUUGCCUUGGGCACGGAGCACGGAUCCCGACGUUGAGAACCAGAACCAUCAACGCAGUUGAGAAGCGAAAUUCAAGUUUCACGAAAACGCGCAGCCCAACGACAACCGAACGAACUAACCAGUCCAUCGAUUAAACAUCGCACACACUGGAUCGGUAUCGUCAAAUCUGCACGCUCGGCCACAGCCUACAAUUACGACGCGGUUCGUGGAGUUAAUUGGCGAAUUCCUCUGCCGGCAGGAUGUCGACAAAAGCAACUUUAUAAAGUUUUCCGUUUAUCUGGAAAACCAGAAACGGAGGGAUAUGAUUUGCAACCGGCUGCGAAUUAUCGCGCGAAUUUCUCUUCUUUCGCACCCUUUCAUAAUGAGAUUCUGAAUAAGCUUCCUAGAAAAUUGUUCGUUUGAACUGUUAUAUAUAGAAUUGUUCGAAUGAAAAUAUUCAGUGAAUAUUUGGGAAAUUUUAUACUUUUCACCAAGUUCCAUGAUCCAUACAAAUUUUAUUAACAACUGUUUUGACAAAUAUAAUUUUAUAGAUUGUUGGAAUUAAAAUAUUCAAAGAAUAUUUGGGAAGCUUUUCUCUAUACCUUUCACCAAGUUCCAUCAUCCAUACAAAUUUUAUCAACAACUGCUUUGGCAAAUAUAAUUUUAUAGAUUGUUUGAAUUAAAAUAUUCAAAUAUUUGGGAAGCUUUAUACCUUUCAUCAAGUUCCAUCAUCCAUACAAAUUUUAUCAACAACUGCUUUGGCAAAUAUAAUUUUAUAGAUUGUUUGAAUUAAAAUAUUCAAAUAUUUGGGAAGCUUUAUACCUUUCAUCAAGUUCCAUCAUCCAUACAAAUUUUAUCAGUGACUGCUUUGACAAAUAUAAAUUUAUAGAUUGUUUAAAAUAUUCAAAGAAUAUUUGGGAAGCUUUUCUCUAUACCUUUCACAAAGUUCCAUCAUCCAUACAAAUUUUAUCAGCAACUGCUUUGGCAAAUAUAGUUUUAUAGAUUGUUCAAAUUAAAAUAUUCAAAGAUACUUAGGAAGCUUUAUACUUUUCACCAAGUUCCAUGAUCCAUACA